AGGCUUGAAAGAGGAUGUCGGUUACUUAUCGCCUUCGACAGAGGCUCGGGAGAGAACAGGAGAGAGUCGUGAGAGACGAGAAAAGAUCGCUCCCCACCGAUCGAAACCAGAGGCUCGGGAGAGACAAGAGAGCGUUGUGAGAGAGAAGACACGGGAGAGACAAGAGAGAGUUGUGAGUGAGAGAGAAGACAAGAGAGAGUUGUGAGUGAGAGAGACACGAGAGAGACAAGAGAGAGUUGUGAUCGAAACCAGAGACGCUUGAAUUUGGAUGUCGUUCUCUAUCGCCGUCGAGAGAGACACGGGAGAGACAAGAGAGAGUUGUGAGAGAGGAGAAGAGGUCUUUGCCCUACGCGGAUACCUUCUCCAAUCGGAUGCUGCCACCUGUGACGAAGGACCAGCCCAAAAACAUCUUAAUGGGGGACGUUCG
rnacentral:lncRNA from 1 species